AUUUUCCAGUGACAUUUUUUGCAGCCCCUUUAAACUUAGCUGAAAGGAACUUGGAGGCCACAAUGUCAGCAGCUGUUGCCUCCAGGAUGAACUACUAUUUGGGAUGAAGCAUUCAUAGAAAUGUCCUGAAGAAGAAGGGUUUGUGGUUUGGAUGGGAACAGAAACUUGAACAGGAUGGAGAAGAGGGGAACAAAUGUACUUGCCUCAGCACCUGAGCCAACAGGCAAUGCUACCAGGACUUGUUUCAGAGUCCAGAGAGAUUGACACUCAGUUCCUUAUUCCUCCCCUGGAGAUCUCCGGGUUGUUCCUUAGAAAAGAAAAAGUUUCACAAGCAGGACUUUGAGAAUCAAGUCUCAUUUCAAUUAUUUAUUAUUUACACAUCUGGAAUAAAGUCCUCUGCAAUAUCGGAA